CAUCUAAAAGAGAAAUACCUUAUCCUAUAUAAUGCUUGAAAACAUUUGAGCAAAAGAAAAAUAGCUAGAGAUACACUAACCAAAAUAAGUACUGUAGAAAAUGAAUGCAAAUCAGUCUCAAUUGUUAAAGGACAACCGUGUUACAAGAUAAACCAUUUGCAUUACACAAUCUGUUUUUUUUUCCCCAUCUCUGUAGCUACCUGGUGAUGUAUACAGUGCUGACAAAGGCUUAAUUCCCACAGAGCAGUUCAUUACAUAUAUAAGGUUCUUACUGGAGUUGAGCUGAAUUUCAGAUACUUUGUUCUGGGCCAAAUUUGAUUUGGCAUUUAGCCAAAACACUUGCCAAUUUGAUUUCUUCCUGUUCACCUAGCUAAAUGGGUUGUAGUGAUGUCUCUAUUGAAGACAUGUUAAAUAGAUCUGAAACUCAAAUAUAGUUGAGAUUUGGACUGAUUAAGUUCAGAUAAAAGGAGAAAUUCAGAAGAAAAUUCUGCUUCCUGAAUUAGGCCCCCCAUCCUGUAAUGAACCCUGGGUGGACAGGGGGGUUGGCCUGCACAGAGCUCAUUGCAGGCUUGGGUCUCAUCUCUGACCUAUCAUUGGUGAAGGUAAAAAGAACUAAUCAGUUUCUUAGAAUGAGGUUACACAAAUGGAUCCCAGGGAAAUUAGAAAGUCAACUGUCAUUGGACACCUAACGCCCAUUAGCGUUUUGGAAAUUUUUCCUUUUAUUUGCAUUAUGCCUUAUGUGGAAUUGCUGCUCAGGGCGAUCCCUGUGUGUAACCUCAGCUUUGCUCUCCUAGAUUUUUUGAGAAGUCCUUCCUUAUAGAAAAUACCAGUUCUGAAAACAAUGUUUAACAUCUAAACCCCUCUUCAUCCUCUGUUCGCCUUAUUUACUCUUUUGCCUCCGGAGCCUGGUCGGGUUCCUUUGUUUGGAGUCGGGCUGGGUCCGGCUCUCCUGCUUCAGCUGCGAGCGCUGCCGGCAGGGGGCGCUGUGUUCACUGAACGCCUGGCUCAGGCUCCGGCUCCCCAGGCGGGCGGGCUCACUCCGGCUCGCGGGGGGGGUCUCAGUCCUGUGGAAGUUUCUUGUCCCCAUGGCCCCCGUCCUCUCCCCGGGAGUCCGGGGGUCCGCGGCCGCUCUCUGGCAGCCAAGGCGAGCAGCGGAGAGCCCGGCUGGGGGCCAAUCACCGCUCGCUGUCCGGGCCAGGGCGCGAGCCUCGCCGCCCCUCCUCCCUCAGGCGCCGCGGCCGCCUCUUGCCCCGCCGGGGGCUCCCCCGGGGCGCGCCCUGUCCCGCGGCCGGCGCGCUGAGGCGGAGCCCAUGAGCUCGCUCCGCGGCGAGCCCCGGUGGGCGGGCGGCCCGCGCCUCACAGCAGCUGCUCGCCCUCCAGGCCGGCCCCGUCGUGAGGCGCGGCGCCCUCGUGCCGCCCGCUCCAGUCGCGCUCGAUGUAGAGGUGGAAGGGAUCGUGCUUGGACUCCAGCUUGCGGGAGCGGGUGUAGGCCAGGAUCAGCCCGCCCGCCAGGCAGCCGUAGAAGAUCAUGAUGAGCAGGAUGUAGAGAAUCAACAGAUAAUCCAGGAUGACAAAGUGGCACUGAACCAGGAAGAAAGGAGGCAGCAACGACACCACCAAUGGAAGAAUCUCUUUCAUUUCUGAAAAAAACAGACUCCAACGAAAGACUGCUGAGCUGGAAUUGAUAUGCAAAGUAGACACAAUCAACUCAGGAUUGAAUAAGGACUGGGAAUGGCUGAGCCAUUACAAACAUUGAAUCUAUCUCCCCUUAGUUGGAGGAUUCCAAUCCCGUGAGGAGCCAUGCCCUGAGGUGGAGAACUGCUAGGUUGGGAUGAAGCACAUGAUCCACAUCCUGUGACAGGAGGUGAGGAAUGGUCAGGAGCUUGAACGAUGGUUGGACACAGAGGUGAAGCAACUUCAGAUGCAACUCCUGCAACAGAGCAAGGGCUGCCUGGGUGGAAGACAACACUGCUUCAUAGGAACGGCCCUUGAGUAGCCAGUCGUUGAGAUAUGGGAAAACUAGGAUUGCUUCUUGUUGGAGGGGACAGGGAGGUUGUCUGUGUGGUGCAUCAGGCCACUUCCUGAGCCCAGCCUUCUCUGCAACCAGGAAAGGGGCGUGUCCGGGAGGAGCUAUCAUCGCUGAGGCCACAAAGAGCCAUCUGCUUUGCAUCCGGCCCCUGGGAAGGGGGAUGUGGAUGAGCUUGGGGGGAAUGCAGCUGAUGCAGGACAACUACAGCAAGCAACUUGCUCUGACUGCACUGAGUGCCGGGGUAGGAAACAGGAGGCUAAGGAGGCGAUACUGCUGGGCAAGUGCCACGCUCCCGACACCUGCUCAGCAUUCAGCACCCCUGGAGAGCACGUCAGGACCAAAUGAGGAAGAAACCCAUCAUCAGUCCAGAUCUCUCUGCCUCAGAAUAGAAGACAACUCAUCACCCGAUCUCUCCCUUCUUACAAGCUGGAGGCUUGCAAGAUGUAACAAAGGCCCCUGCGUUUUUUAUCUGAAAUAUAAAUAAUCUGUCUCAUAAUCAACACUGGUGAGAGCCACUCAGAUUAUCCAUGCAACAAUCUGAGAACCAGAGCCUGCUACCCUCCCCCAUGAUUCACCCCCAAAUUUGCAGACUUUCCCACAUUAAAUGUGGAAUUGUGGAGUCUGCAGCUUAUGUGGAGAAGAGGUAGCACAAGAUCAGUGUGGUACUGAGCUCUGAAAAAGGACAUGUGGUCAGUCAGCCUUCCUCUUCCUUCUAACCUCCAAUCCAUGUGGAGGGGAAGAGAAAAUGUUUUGUUCUUCUUUGUUAGUCUCUAAAGUGCCACAAGUACUCCUGUUCUUUUUGCGGAUACAGACUAACACGGCUGCUACUCUGAAACUCUUCUUUGAGGCUUGACCAUGUGUUCCCUUCUCAAAUGGAGGCAUGGCCAAGUCAUUAGUUUAAUUUGUUUUUCACUUUUCUUAUGUGAAAUCUUACACAUGGGCUUUACUACUUUUACUUUGCUAGACUUUGUUGCAACCCUCUUUGCCUUGUUUAUUGUCUAGUGGCCAGGAUCAUCACUAAAGAAAAUGGCUGGCUUGCACAAGGCACCCUGUCAUAACUAUAAAGCGAAGGGUGUAACAGCUGUCCUGUGUACAGUACUAUAAAAUCCCUCCUGGCCAGAGACUCCAAAAUCCUUUUUCCUGUAAAGGGUUAAGAAGCUCAGGUAACCUGGC